rnacentral:rRNA from 1 species
GACGAACGCUGGCGGCGUGCUUAACACAUGCAAGUCGAACGGUGAAGCUCCAGCUUACUGGCGUGGAUCAGUGGCGAACGGGUGAGUAACACGUGAGCAACCUGCCCCUGACUCUGGAAUAAGCGCUGGAAACGGCGUCUAAUACUGGAUACGAGAAGGGUCCGCAUGGGCACUUUCUGGAAAGUUUUUCGGUUGGGGAUGGGCUCGCGGCCUAUCAGCUUGUUGGUGGGGUAAUGGCUCACCAAGGCGACGACGGGUAGCCGGCCUGAGAGGGCGACCGGCCACACUGGGACUGAGACACGGCCCAGACUCCUACGGGAGGCAGCAGUGGGGAAUAUUGCACAAUGGGCGAAAGCCUGAUGCAGCGACGCCGCGUGAGGGAUGACGGCCUUCGGGUUGUAAACCUCUUUCAGCAGGGAAGAAGCGAAAGUGACGGUACCUGCAGAAGAAGCACCGGCUAACUACGUG